UGACAUGAUGAUCACCAUUACCAAUAAGCAUAGUUCAACUGAGGUCUUCGGAUCACUGAACGACAACCUUCUACCAUCUUUCGCUCCUAUCUGAUA
rfam:Aspergillus clavatus NRRL 1 1099423829802 genomic scaffold, whole genome shotgun sequence.